AUACACUGGGAGCUGAAGUUUGAACUUCCUCCCGGCCCAUCCAAUCCCCACACGGCUCUACCGGGACUUAAACUUUGAUGAAAAACCAAGCAGGACAGAGAGCUGUGAGGGGAAAGAAGAUGCAGGGAUUCCUGUCAGAGGGAACAUGGCCAAGGUGUCCAAUAAGAAUCGCUGCGAGACGUCACAUGCUGAGGACCCAGAUGAGGCGGGCAAGCGAAACGCGCGUCGGUCAAAGUGGCGCACAGGGACCAAACACAGAGGGAGCGUGUGUGCCUGGAAAUGAUCGUGAGGGGGAGCGGAAUAAGCGAAACGAUUGGACACACAGAAAUGCGCAGUGUAAUCAACAUCCUGGCAGGAAAGUAGAAAGGAAGAUAAAGAAGAGAGAACAGGGGAAGCUCAGUAAAGAAGAAACCUAAUGCUAUCCAACCGUCUGCUCAUAUUGAUCUCGACAGUACUGAAAGGGGCUUCAGUGGAGUGUCAGUUGCAAUCUACUUUCCUUCAUUCAGUUGUAAUAUUUUGUGAGAUACUGUAAGCCCUACUGAACCACCGCAUAAUGUGAGGAUUGCACCUGUGGCCUGUGUUUUUCAGAGCUAGAAAUUGGAAAUAUAUAUAUUUUUAA